rnacentral:misc_RNA from 1 species
CCGAGUUAGGGCCCUCUAGGGCUCGACCUCCUACCCUUUGUCUACCUUACCUUUUGUUGCUUCGGCGGACCCGUCCUUUAGGGGACCGCCGGAGAGCUCACGCUCUCUGGCCCGCGUCCGUCGGUGGCCCACAACCAAAACUCUUGUUUAAACGUGUCGUCUAAGUACAAAAACAAAUAAGUAA